rnacentral:rRNA from 1 species
GNCCGAUUGCGGAGGCAGCUGGCCAGGCCGGGAUUGACGCUGAGGCACGAAAGCGUGGGGAGCGAACAGGAUUAGAUACCCUGGUAGUCCACGCCGUAAACGAUGAGCACUGGCUGUCGGCGACAGGCUGUCGGCGGCUGCGCGAAAGCGUUAAGUGCUCCACCUGGGGAGUACGGCCGCAAGGCU